rnacentral:tRNA from 1 species
GAUGCUGUAGCCGUUGAAAUGGCAUAGGUCUGCAAAACCAAAGUUGGCGGUUCAAAUCCGCUCAGCAUCGCCA